rnacentral:lncRNA from 1 species
CAGGAGUAAAUAUCGUAUUUAUACAAAUAUGGAGAAACUAAAAGGAAGUAGACCACUGCGAAAGGGAGAAGUUGACAUACACGUUGGAGAUGAGCAAAGGUUGCUACAUUACCUGUAUGAAUAUACUUCUUACCAUUGCCUUUUGGUUUAGUAUUGGAAUUAGAGAAAUAUCGUUUUAUGCCAACUAUAGCUAGAACAUUAAAAUGAAUUUCAUGUUCAGACAUGAACUAUUUUAAUGUUAAGGACAAUUGUUGUUCUUGUUUAUCUUGUUAAAGAUCCUAAUAGCUAUGGUAAAUUAUAAAACGAUAUUUAUAUUCUUUAAUACUAAAGAUUCUAUAAUAAGUAUAGAAAUUAUAAGGCAUAAAUAUUAUAAUCUAAUUAUUACCAAAAAUCUGGCAUGACAGACUUUGUCAUUUAGAUGAAAUAUAAUUUCAAAGUUACAUAAAGAUGUAUACUUGGGAUUAAUUCAUUUUGACAAGUACAAAUUAUGCAUGUCUGGCACAAUAACCAAAUUUUCUUUUGCUUGAAAAGAAGAAAUGUCAGCAUAAUUACCGGUCUAAUGCAUAGUGAUGCAUAUGAAUUCUUGUCAAUCAAUGUCAGGUAAUGUUUCUCUUAUUUCAUCAAUGAUCAAAUAUACUUGAUGAAAACUCAAACAUGAAACUCUUGAAAAGUUCAAGGGAUUCACACUAGAAUUGGAGAAACAAAGAGGUAAAGAUACAUUCACAUUAAGAUUCGAUCAAGUGAGAGUAUCUUAAAGAUAAAA